rnacentral:rRNA from 1 species
UUCGGUGGUUAUGGCGAAGGGGAAACACCCGGUCCCAUCCCGAACCCGGAAGUUAAGCCCUUCAGCGCCGAUGGUACUGCACGGGAGACUGUGUGGGAGAGUAGGACACCGCCGGAC